GGCUGCCUCUGCCUCAUUAGGCUACGGUAUACGGUUCAACACUCUUUGCCCAGGUUUCGUCAAAACUGAACUCUUCUCCAACAUCCCAAAGAAACUGGGACUCUUCUCCGAACUCACCGUCGUCACCCAACAACUCGUUGAAAAUUUCGGGGUUUUAAAUGUGUCUGAGGUUGCUGAGGCUUUCCUUGAGCUGGUGACAGAUGAGACAAAGAACGGUGAGGCUCUGCUGGUCCUCCCAGAAAAUGAAGAAGGGAAAGGAGGAAAUAAAUACAUAACUUUCCCUUCAGCCCUUCAACAGUAGCUCUUGGCAGUGACAAACUACAACAAUUCUGACAGUUCCAACCUUUAAACUGAAACCUGAUACCUAUUUCUUCAUUCUCAAAUGUGCACAAUAAAGAAAUAAAUCCAUUAAAAAUAAAGAAUUCAACUAAUGGGGGAAAUAAUUAUAUUGUUGAUUUAUGUAAUACAUUGUUCAAGUUAAAACUGCAGGGUUUUUCAUCUGUGCUGACAGCAACUGUGAGCAGAGGAUAAACAACAACCUGGAAAACCUGUUUGUCAAUUCAUCAUAAAUACAUCUGCUCCACUCUUAUGAACUUGAAAUUACCAUCAUGCCUUGAGGGACUCUCUUUAAAUUUGGCACAAUCGUUUGCUCGGACUCGCAAAUUAACUGAUCAGAAUUCAGUCAUCUAAGGUCAAAGUUUCGAGGUCAUAAUGACCUCAUGAUACAAUAUGUCUGGUGAAGACAUUUUCUCAGCAAUGUCUUGAAAUUCUGUGACUGCACAAAAAAACGUGCUAAUUGUGACAAAUUAUAUUUGAUAACUUUUAUUAAACUCCUUUAAGGUCUUC